rnacentral:rRNA from 2 species
UUUAUAUGAGAGUUUGAUCCUGGCUCAGGAUGAACGCCGGCGGUGUGCCUAAUACAUGCAAGUCGAACGCGUUGGCCCAAUUGAUUGAYGGUGCUUGCACCUGAUUGAUUUUGGUCGCCAACGAGUGGCGGACGGGUGAGUAACACGUAGGUAACCUGCCCAGAAGCGGGGGACAACAUUUGGAAACAGAUGCUAAUACCGCAUAACAACGUYGUUCGCAUGAACAACGCUUAAAAGAUGGCUUCUCGCUAUCACUUCUGGAUGGACCUGCGGUGCAUUAGCUUGUUGGUGGGGUAAYGGCCUACCAAGGCGAUGAUGCAUAGCCGAGUUGAGAGACUGAUCGGCCACAAUGGGACUGAGACACGGCCCAUACUCCUACGGGAGGCAGCAGUAGGGAAUCUUCCACAAUGGGCGCAAGCCUGAUGGAGCAACACCGCGUGAGUGAAGAAGGGUUUCGGCUCGUAAAGCUCUGUUGUUAAAGAAGAACACGUAUGAGAGUAACUGUUCAUACGUUGACGGUAUUUAACCAGAAAGUCACGGCUAACUACGUGCCAGCAGCCGCGGUAAUACGUAGGUGGCAAGCGUUAUCCGGAUUUAUUGGGCGUAAAGAGAGUGCAGGCGGUUUUCUAAGUCUGAUGUGAAAGCCUUCGGCUUAACCGGAGAAGUGCAUCGGAAACUGGAUAACUUGAGUGCAGAAGAGGGUAGUGGAACUCCAUGUGUAGCGGUGGAAUGCGUAGAUAUAUGGAAGAACACCAGUGGCGAAGGCGGCUACCUGGUCUGCAACUGACGCUGAGACUCGAAAGCAUGGGUAGCGAACAGGAUUAGAUACCCUGGUAGUCCAUGCCGUAAACGAUGAGUGCUAGGUGUUGGAGGGUUUCCGCCCUUCAGUGCCGGAGCUAACGCAUUAAGCACUCCGCCUGGGGAGUACGACCGCAAGGUUGAAACUCAAAGGAAUUGACGGGGGCCCGCACAAGCGGUGGAGCAUGUGGUUUAAUUCGAAGCUACGCGAAGAACCUUACCAGGUCUUGACAUCUUGCGCCAACCCUAGAGAUAGGGCGUUUCCUUCGGGAACGCAAWGACAGGUGGUGCAUGGUCGUCGUCAGCUCGUGUCGUGAGAUGUUGGGUUAAGUCCCGCAACGAGCGCAACCCUUGUUACUAGUUGCCAGCAUUAAGUUGGGCACUCUAGUGAGACUGCCGGUGACAAACCGGAGGAAGGUGGGGACGACGUCAGAUCAUCAUGCCCCUUAUGACCUGGGCUACACACGUGCUACAAUGGACGGUACAACGAGUCGCGAACUCGCGAGGGCAAGCAAAUCUCUUAAAAYCGUUCUCAGUUCGGACUGCAGGCUGCAACUCGCCUGCACGAAGUCGGAAUCGCUAGUAAUCGCGGAUCAGCAUGCCGCGGUGAAUACGUUCCCGGGCCUUGUACACACCGCCCGUCACACCAUGAGAGUUUGUAACACCCAAAGUCGGUGGGGUAACCUUUUAGGAGCCAGCCGCCUAAGGUGGGACAGAUGAUUAGGGUGAAGUCGUAACAAGGUAGCCGUAGGAGAACCUGCGGCUGGAUCACCUCCUUUCUA